CGAGUUUUAAGUUGGGUAUAGAAGUCUGGAGUUUGGGGUAAAGGUCUGGGCUGGAGAUCUAGCUUUAGGAGUCCUUCAGUCCUAGAGAGAGGGUGAAGUCAGGAAGGAAUGACAGAGGAAGCACCCAGGCCUGGACCUUGGGACCCUCCAAUGUUCACGGGCAGAGAGAAGUGGGGAGCGGCCAGUGAGGCAGGGGAGACCCCCUGGAGUGAGUGUCAAGAGGAU
rnacentral:lncRNA from 10 species